GAAACGACACCAGAAUCACAAAAACAGAUUCACAGAACGCAUUCUAGCGGAAACAUCAUAACUCAGGCUCUCCAAGUCCAAAUCUAGAAAUUCCAAAACCAUCAGAUAGCUAAGAAACAGGUCUAAAUUUCAUAAGAAAGCCUCAACAACUAAUUCGGAAGCAAUCCUGACCAAAACAACCAAUUACAGGCGCAAUUCUUACAUUCGGGUAAAACCAGAACAGCAAUAGUAAUUUCGACUUUUCUCAAGCUACGCUACUCCGAUUGACCUGAAAUUUUGCAGGCACCUCUAAAAUAUCAUUCCCUAUAACAUUCAUGAAGACCACUCAGUCCAGUU
rnacentral:lncRNA from 1 species